UUAAGAGAUAACAAAGCCAUUUAGAGACAAUAAGGUAAAAACCAUGGAGGUGGGAAGGUAGUCGUGGUAACACUGACCAUGACAUCAGCAUAUGGCUGAUCAGAUACCAGCAGUCUGUUGCCUCUCACCUUCCUGUCCUGAGAGCUAAAUAAGCUUGCUCUUUUUGAGCUGAAUUUUAAAGGGUGUUCUCUUAUUUUAAUGUACAUCUUUCUUACCAGAUAUAAUUUAUAUAUGCAUGAGUUAAUAACAAACCAAAAUAAGUCAUACACAUGUUAGAUAUACUGACCAACAUAACAAGAUCAAUUAAUGCCAGAGCUUUAGAACUUGGAUUUAUAAUGGCCUGACUCUAAAAUUUUGGUGAUUAACAAAGGACUAUAAAAUUUCCUGAAUAUUCAAUCAAUUCUAAACAGUUCAGAGUCAAA
rnacentral:lncRNA from 1 species